GGUAUCAGAGCCAGAGGUCUCGAGUUCGAAACCCAGGCAUCGCGUUGGGGGGGGGAAUGUUGGACAUACUCGGCCGCUGUGCGGGCCAUACCCGCGGGGUCCCUGAGCAGCACAGGGAGGGUCACUGUCAGCAUGUCCUGCCGCCUGCCAACAGCGAUGGCCUGGUUAGUAGGUGGGUCAUACCGAGAGUCCCUGAACCCAUGGCGAGGCCAGGUCGGAGUCCGGGGUUGGGCGAGGCCUUGGUCGGAGUCGACUCGUGGCGCUGCCUUUGGUGGGGUUUAAGGAAAUAGAGUUGCGCCUUUACUAACACCGGUCGAUUUUGGUGUAAUGGUAGCGCUUGAUCCUG
rnacentral:lncRNA from 1 species